CCUACGGGAGGCAGCAGUAGGGAAUCUUUCACAAUGGGCGAAAGCCUGAUGGAGCAACGCCGCGUGCAGGAUGAAGGCCUUCGGGUUGUAAACUGCUUUUAUAAGCGAGAAAUAUGAUGGUAACUUAUGAAUAAGGAUCGGCUAACUACGUGCCAGCAGCCGCGGUCAUACGUAGGAUCCGAGCAUUAUCCGGAGUGACUGGGUGUAAAGAGUUGCGUAGGUGGGCUAAUAAGUAGCUAGUGAAAUCUGGUGGCUCAACCAUUCAGACUAUUAGCUAAACUGUUAAGCUCGAGACCGUUAGGGGUAACUGGAAUUUCUAGUGUAGGAGUGAAAUCCGUAGAUAUUAGAAGGAACACCAAUAGCGUAGGCAGGUUGCUGGGACGGUUCUGACACUAAGGCACGAAAGCGUAGGGAGCAAACGGGAUUAGAUACCCUUGUAGUC
rnacentral:rRNA from 1 species